AUUGAACGCUGGCGGCAUGCCUUACACAUGCAAGUCGAACGGUAACAGGUUAAGCUGACGAGUGGCGAACGGGUGAGUAAUGUAUCGGAACGUGCCCAGUCGUGGGGGAUUACUGCUCGAAAGAGCAGCUAAUACCGCAUACGACCUGAGGGUGAAAGCGGGGGAUCGCAAGACCUCGCGCGAUUGGAGCGGCCGAUAUCAGAUUAGGUAGUUGGUGAGGUAAAGGCUCACCAAGCCGACGAUCUGUAGCUGGUCUGAGAGGACGACCAGCCACACUGGGACUGAGACACGGCCCAGACUCCUACGGGAGGCAGCAGUGGGGAAUUUUGGACAAUGGGCGCAAGCCUGAUCCAGCCAUGCCGCGUGCGGGAAGAAGGCCUUCGGGUUGUAAACCGCUUUUGUCAGGGAAGAAAAGGUUCUGGCUAAUACCUGGGACUCAUGACGGUACCUGAAGAAUAAGCACCGGCUAACUACGUG
rnacentral:rRNA from 1 species